rnacentral:rRNA from 1 species
UACGGGGGGAGCAAGCGUUGUUCGGAUUUACUGGGCGUAAAGGGCGCGUAGGCGGUCAGCACAAGUCAGUUGUGAAAUCUCCGGGCUUAACUCGGAAAGGUCAACUGAUACUGUGCGACUAGAGUGCAGAAGGGGCAACUGGAAUUCUCGGUGUAGCGGUGAAAUGCGCAGAUAUCGGGAGGAACACCCGUAGCGAAGGCGGCACUCUGGGCCGGUACUGACGCUGAGGAGCGAAAGCGUGGGGAGCAAACAGG